rnacentral:rRNA from 1 species
CUGCCCUUCCAUCCCUUGGAUAGAUAGAGAGGGAGGACAGGGCAGAGCUUUUGGUUUUUUCAUGUUGUCAAAGAGUUGAACAAUGGUUUUUCGUGUUGUCAAAGAUUUGAACAAUGAAAAUAGAUGGCGAGUGCCUGAUCGAAUUGAUCAGGUCAUGUAGUAACAAGGUUCAAGUCUACCGGUCUGUUAGGAUGCCUCAGCUGCAUACAUCACUGCACUUCCACUUGACACCUAUCGUAAUGAUAAACGGCUCGUCUCGCCGUGACCUUC